rnacentral:rRNA from 1 species
UACGUAGGGGGCAAGCGUUAUCCGGAUUUACUGGGUGUAAAGGGAGCGCAGACGGCAGUGCAAGUCUGGAGUGAAAGCCCGGGGCUCAACCCCGGGACUGCUUUGGAAACUGCAUAGCUGGAGUGCUGGAGAGGUAAGUGGAAUUCCUAGUGUAGCGGUGAAAUGCGUAGAUAUUAGGAGGAACACCAGUGGCGAAGGCGGCUUACUGGACAGUAACUGACGUUGAGGCUCGAAAGCGUGGGGAGCAAACA